CAAGUUCCGAGGAAGCCUGCACAGUGCCAAGUUGGCACCUGUUGGGGAGGAAAGGAAGCUGCUGGGGAGAAAAACUAGAAAGAAAAGAGUGGCGAAGAAUCACUAGAAAGAAGCCUGUAUCAGGGUCCCUGCUUCUGCCACCCACAGCCAUGCUGAUUGAAACAUUAUCCGAAAUUAUGCACAUUUGCUUUAGAAGAAGCUCCUACUCUGCAGGCUGACACGUGGUAACCAUCAUAUUCGGAGCAGCUCACAGGAGACAUCCUGCAUAGUCUUCAUGGAGAACAUUUUACUCCACAAAUAUCAAAUGAAGAUACAUAUGUACCAGGAAGAGAAGAUACCAAUAAUGAAGAAGAAAGGAUAGGAAAAAGACAACCUGACAAUAGCUUUCAUUCAACCUUCCUAUCUUCAAAAGCACACCUAAGCAAGAUCACCUCUACCUUCAAAUUAAAC